rnacentral:rRNA from 1 species
CACGUAGGGUGCGAGCGUUGUCCGGAAUUAUUGGGCGUAAAGGGCGCGUAGGCGGUGCGGUAAGUCACUUGUGAAAUCUCCUGGCUCAACUGGGAGCUUGCAGGCGAAACUGCCGUGCUGGAGUGUGGGAGAGGUGCGUGGAAUUCCCGGUGUAGCGGUGAAAUGCGUAGAUAUGGGGAGGAACACCGGUGGCGAAGGCGGCCACCUGGACGGAUACUGACGCUGAGACGCGAAGGCGUGGGUAGCAAACAGG